rnacentral:tRNA from 1 species
GGGGCUUUAGCUCAGUUUGGGAGAGCGCUUGGCUUGCACCCAGGAGGCCGUCGGUUCGAUCCCGACAAGCUCCACCA